GAAAGUGGAAUUCCAUGUGUAGCGGUGAAAUGCGCAGAGAUAUGGAGGAACACCAGUGGCGAAGGCGACUUUCUGGUCUGUAACUGACGCUGAUGUGCGAAAGCGUGGGGAUCAAACAGGAUUAGAUGCCCUGGUAGUCCACGCCGUAAACGAUGAGUGCUAAGUGUUAGGGGGUUUCCGCCCCUUAGUGCUGCAGCUAACGCAUUAAGCACUCCGCCUGGGGAGUACGACC
rnacentral:rRNA from 1 species